AGCCAGAACAAUUCCAAGAGACAUGGUGGCAUUUCUGGAAUUUCUCUUCGCUUGCCUCUUGCCACCUGUGUUGUGGGCCAUUCACCUGGACCAGGUCCCAAUCUCCAUCACAAAGGAGCCAUAUGAGGAGAGCACUGCUGAAUUCACCUGCAAAUUGUCUGGUGGGUCGGACUCUACCUAUAUCCAUUGGUACCGAGCCCCAGCUGGAGGGGCACCGCAGAGGCUGCUCUACCUUUCUUACUCCAAGCCUGACCCCAGCUGGGACGCCGGCUUGUCCAGCAAGAAACUCACCGCCCAUUUUCAAGGCCGUAGCAUCUGCAAACUCUUGUUGCACAAGCUGGAGAAGGCAGACAGCGGCCACUAUUACUGUGCUGCAUGGGAUUAUACACAGUGCCACAAACUUCCUGCAGCCCUGCACAAAAAAACCCUCAACAACAACAAAACCACACACAGCACAGCCUGGGCUCAGCUCUCACUUUAUGGCAGCAGUUCGGCGGCAGGUCCUUCCCUCUGA